rnacentral:rRNA from 1 species
ACCGUUUUGNAAAANGNACCAAGGAGUGCAACAUGCCCGCGAGUUUUNGGGUGAGCUGAAAAAGCCCUGUGGCGUAAUGAGAGUGAAGUCCUGGCUUGCACGGGACGAGGCGAGAGCCGUUGUCAAGGUUGGCGGCCCAUUGUNGACCGAUCCCAAGCCACGCUGUGGUGGGAUUNGAGUGAGAGCGUGCCUGUUGCGACCCGAAAGAUGGUGAACUAUGCCUGAGUAGGGUAAAGCCAGAGGAAACUCUGGUGGAAGYUCGUAGCGAUUCUGACGUGCAAAUCGAUCGUCAAACUUGGGUAUAGGGGCGAAAGACUAAUCGAACCAUCUAGUAGCUGGUUCCCUCCGAAGUUUCCCUCAGGAUAGCUGGAGCCCGGAGCAGUUUUAUGAGGUAAAGCGAAUGAUUAGAGGUCUUGGGGCUGAAACAGCCUCAACCUAUUCUCAAACUUUAAAUGGGUAAGAAGCCCGGCUUGCUUGGCUGAAGUCGGUGCUGGAAUGCGUGGGCUCUCAGUGGGCCAUUUUUGGUAAGCAGAACUGGCGAUGCGGGAUGAACCGGACGCCGGGUUAAGGUGCCCGAAUCGGCGCUCCUCAGACCCCAUGAAAGGU